rnacentral:tRNA from 1 species
GGGGUUGUAGCUCAGUGGUAGAGUGCUUGCCUAGCAUGCAUGAGGCACUGGGUUCGAUUCCU